rfam:Loxodonta africana unplaced genomic scaffold scaffold_44, whole genome shotgun sequence.
UCAAAGGCUCUUUUCAGAGCCACCCAUGUAUUCAUUAAAAGGGCUU